GACGAACGCUGGCGGCGUGCUUAACACAUGCAAGUCGAACGGACAGGUCCUGCUUUUGUGGGGUGCUCGAGUGGCGCACGGGUGAGUAACACGUGAGUAACCUGCCCUUGACUUUCUGAUAAAUUCAGGAGACUGCGGCUCAUACCGGAUAUGAGCUCCUGCUGCGUGGUGGUGGUUGGUAAGUUUCGGCGGUUGGGGAUGUAUUGGCGGCUUAUGAGCUUGUUGGGGGGGUAGUGGAUGACCAAGGCUGUGAGGGGUAGCCGGCCUGGGAGGUUGAACGGGGACAAGGGGACUAAGGGAGGGAGCAGAAGGCAAUGGGAGGCAGUGGGGGGGAACAUGGCAGAACGGGCGGAAGCGUGAUGCAGCAGCGCCGCGAGCGGGAUGACGUGUUAUGGGUUGUAAACAGAUGUCGCAGGAGAUGUAGCGUGAUUGACGGUAACUGGUAAAGAAGCACCGGCUAACUACGUG
rnacentral:rRNA from 1 species